ACGACAGAUAUAUGGUCUCACUUUAGCUGCUCCUGAAACCGGACUACUGUUGAAGCGCCACGGACAGAAAACGCCGGGAGGACUCCUCCUUUUGUGCUUUUAAGCCGCAGUCUCGAGACUUAACUCCCAAAUAACCACUUGAAUUUGAGGACUGGCCAAAAUGUGAACGCACACACUCACUCACUCACUCACUCACACACACACACACACACACACACACACACACACACACACACACACGCACACUUUAAUAAUAGCAGGUGUGCCUCCCUCAUCACACAGCUGCGAACCAGAGCCUGAGAGUGAGGUAGAGGUACACGGGCAGAAAAGCACAUGUCAGCGUGGCGAGUGUGAGAGAGACGGGGAGAAAGAGAUGAUUCAGACAUAUAAAGAUAAACAGUGACAGACCGAAGCAAGGACGAAGGCAACCAGAAGGGAAAAGUUGUGUGAGUGGAAGAAAGCAGGAGGCAAACUCCAAAAAGGAAAGCUGCUGCUUUACUGAUUGUGAGAAACCCCAAAAAAAUGGUUUUAGAAAAACUUUCCAAGCUGCUGGUGAAAAAGAAAAAAGGAGAAGAAAUCAGUGGAAACAGCGGCGUGGUGAAAAAGUUUAAGUUUCAGUAGAGCAAAGUGUUCUAAUCUUCUUUCUCCUGGGGCGUUUUUGGAACUAUUUCUCAUCAGUCUGGGCAGGACUCAUUUGUCCCUGUAUCCCUCCCUCUCUCCUGCUUUUCCCUCCGUCCUAGUUCACUGCAGUAGAGCGUAACUAGAGCCGCACAAUGACUACAGGUUGAGGAGUGAGUGAGCGAGACAGAGACAGGGAUCAAGGAGAGGAGAGACUAACGCGUGCCUCCCACAGCCAGGUUUGGACUCCCUGUGCAGCAGUGAGGCAGAGCGUGAACCAACGGGCCUGGGGUCUGCGCGGCUCCGCUGCUUUCUCUGCCUGUGAAGUCUGCCAAACGCUGCUGCGCUUUCCGCCGCCCGUGCGCCUCAGCGCCCGCCUCCAGCGGCUGAGACUUACCAAACAGACAAAGGCUGAGGAAGACCUCUACAGUCAUGACGCUUUCCCCCCUACUGGCUGCACAACACUGCUCGUGAGGCCUGCUUUGCUCUGGUGCCACAUUGGCGGUUCACAAUGAGGGUGAAGAGAUGAGCCUGCAUCUAGCAGCCCUGACCCUGCAGUCCCUGCCACUGGAUAUUUACUGAUUCACAGAAUCCAGAAGACAAUGCCCCUGUCUCCCAGAUAACACUUCUGAGGACCGGGCUUU
rnacentral:lncRNA from 1 species